rnacentral:rRNA from 1 species
UGGGGAAUUUUGGACAAUGGGCGCAAGCCUGAUCCAGCCAUGCCGCGUGAGUGAAGAAGGCCUUCGGGUUGUAAAGCUCUUUCGGACGGGAAGAAAUGGCGGGCUCUAACAUAGCCUGUCGAUGACGGUACCGUAAGAAGAAGCACCGGCUAACUACGUGCCAGCAGCCGCGGUACUACGUAGGGUGCGAGCGUUAAUCGGAUUUACCGGGUUUAAAGGGAGCGUAGGUGGGCUUAUAAGUCAGUGGUGAAAUCUCCGAGCUUAACUUGGAAACUGCCGUUGUUACUAUAGGUCUUGGAUUAUCUGGAGGUAAGCGGAAUAUGUCAUGUAGCGGUGAAAGGCUUAGAUAUGACAUAGAACACCAAUUGAGAAGGCAGCUUACUACAUAUAAAUUGACGCUGAGGCACGAAAGCGUGGGGAUCAAACA